CUCAGCGACCGGCAAUGGCGGCUCCUCCCCAAGCUCAGCCCUUCUAUGUCCCCGCAGCCACACGGUGGCGAUAUGUGCUAAAGAUACCCGUAGACUACAUACAGUAACUGUAUGUGAAAUCCUGCAGAAACGUUGCUACUUGAUCAAACUGAUUGUAGGCUUAGCCCUACUGGUCAUCCUAUAGCACAGAUCUGACUUUAAAAGGUUAUGUGGAGUGUGGCUGGGAGUUCCAUGUCCUUGGCUUACUUUGCCCUAAGUAAAGAAGUACCAUUGAUGGGAUGGAUGAUUGUUGCCCAGUGCAAUCCUUGCCAAAGCAGCUCUUGCUGGUUCAGCUUCCACUGUGGUCCAGCUGUCCUGGCUACGAGAGCCACAGGUUCUGGGAGGGAUGUAGGGCAAACAGUAUCUGAGAGAGCGGUGUGCUGAAAACCCCUGCUCCAGUUGGUGAUGUGCUGCCAAGGGUUGUUGGCUGGGUUCAGCAUCCAGGAGAGCUUCCCUCCCAUAGGA